GUAGAGUUAGCUGUGCAACGCUUCUUGGUCUCUCAUCUUCAUGGACUCUGUCUUACAUCUUCAUGGAUCUUUGCUUUCUGAGAGAGGCACAACCGAGGACUUCUAGUAUCCUGGUUGGUCCUGGCCCAUCCUGCUCACUCCUGCAGAUUUGGCUAAAGCCUGGCUGUCUCUGCUAGGCCAUGCCACAGCUGCUGAUUCGGGUUGCUAUCCCAACUCUACCGAACUGGACUGCUGGUGUAUCCAUGAAAUAUUUGCAAGUGGAUCGAGCUGCUGCUGCUGACCUGUAAACUGAUCUGCUGAUUUCCUGACAAUGAAGAUGGGAUUUGGUCCAAAGAACCAUUUCCAAACAAGUCCGCUCACCCUGUAUCCUUUCUUUGCCACUACCUCUGGUGGGUGGUGGGCUAGAAGGGAGGUUAAAGCAUUUAAGAACUAUCAUUAAAAGUAGGUUUGAAAAAAAUUUAAACUACACCCUUGAAUAAUGAUUGAUGUGGGAAAGCCCAUCACACUAUGAGCAGUGUAACCCCUGGGCAGAUAGUCUAGGGUUACAUAAAAAAUAACCUCUGCUAUUAGGUUUCUACCAUGUCUUCCCCAAAUGAUGGACUCUAAUUUUUAAGCCAAAUAAUCCUUUUCCUCCCUAGGUUGCUUUUGGUCACUGUGUCAACACAGCAAUGAAAACCUAGAACAAUAAAUAUGUUUUAAAAAUGUACAUGGAGAUAUUCAAGACCAUGAGCUCUGGCACUAAGACUGUAAGACUAUGGCAAUCAAAUACAGUUGGCAGAACUUGGCAAACCCCAGAAGACAAGCAAAGUAUGAAUGGUCACUUUAAGCAAAAACUGAAGAGAAGAAAAGAGGCCAGAUGUUAGAUCCUAUGGAGUAACAUACAGUUGAGAGCCACUAUGUUGGGUGCUGGUAAUGGAACCCCGGUUCUCUGCUGACCAGGCACUAAUCUGAGCCACUGCACAAACUCUCCAGCCCCCAAAAUGAAUAUUUUCAUCAAAUGCUAGAAUUAUGAAACUGGGGCAAAUCACUUCAGGAAAGUACAGCAGGACUCAAGGCAGGAUGCACGAGCACGUGUUCAUGGUGAUCUGGUACAGUGACAUUAUUUUUGUGAAAAUACCUUUUACAUUCUAAGAGACUGGAAUGUUCGCUGGCCCUCACAGACAAGUUAAUAAUACCCAUGGAGGUCAUUUAUGAUCAACGAUAUGCUGGAAUGAAACAAGCAUGCAAAGCAACUGCAUCAAACCAAGAUUUAAGGGAAGAAACACAGGGGACAGACAGCAGCACUCACCUCUGUUUCAAAAGUGAACUAAGCAAAAACUGGAGGGAUGCAUGGGCAUCGUUCAGAAGACCCAAGCUGGGUCUCAGUGCUCUCACGGCAGCUCUCAUCCACCAGUCGCACCAGUCUUUUCUGGCCUUCUUGGGAACCAGGCAGCUACAUUUACAAUGCUCUUAAAUUACUCAUUUGUAGGCAAAACAUUCAUACACAUAGAUAGAUAGACAGACAGACAGACAGACAGACAGACAGACAGAUAGAUAGAUAACCUUAUUUUAAGAAGGAAACUAGGCAUAGAGGCUAUGGCAGGAAGAGAUCCAGGCUGGCCAAAGUUAUAAUGUGAGAAGCACUCUCCAAAAGUAAAAAAUAAAGAAGAAAAGACAGCAAAGACCUCACUACUUUUAUUCUAAGCAAACUCUAAAUUUUUCUACUAAAGCUCAAAUAAAAAUUUUACCAUUUACUUUGAGUUAUUAAACUUUUCUGCUUCUCUUUAUGGGAAAUUUGGAGAAAGAUAACUUCUAGUAUCUUGAACAUUUGUUUGUUUGGGUUUUGUUUGUUUUUUGAGGGUUUUUGAUGUCAUUACAUUGUAGUUGAUUAUUAAAUUGCUAGACUUGAAAUUUUGUGUUUGGUUAAUAAAA